AUGAGAGGGGGGAAAGAGAUGCUUUUGAGGCGCAUUUCGGCCGAGCUUUUACAUCUCUACUCGUGGUGGUGUGAUGAUGGUGUGGGGUUAGGGACGGUAGGGAGAGUCGAGGAGAGGCUUUUGCCGUGCGGUGGCUGGUGGUGGUGCGGCAGGAACUGCUUGCUCUCCUUGGUUGGUGCGUCUCUAGCUGAAACGCAAAAGCAGGCUCCAAAUCUUUGGUGCUCCAGUGAUGAGUGCCGUCCUACUGAAUGCAGUACAGUUUCUCUACUAAACUCGCGGGGCCAUGUUUGUUUCUUUAUUUUUCUUAUAAAUUGA
rnacentral:rRNA from 1 species